rnacentral:rRNA from 1 species
CCUACGGGAGGCAGCAGUAGGGAAUCUUCCGCAAUGGACGAAAGUCUGACGGAGCAACGCCGCGUGAGUGAUGAAGGCUUUCGGGUCGUAAAACUCUGUUGUUAGGGAAGAACAAGUGCUAGUUGAAUAAGCUGGCACCUUGACGGUACCUAACCAGAAAGCCACGGCUAACUACGUGCCAGCAGCCGCGGUAAUACGUAGGUGGCAAGCGUUAUCUGGAAUUAUUGGGCGUAAAGCGCGCGCAGGUGGUUUCUUAAGUCUGAUGUGAAAGCCCACGGCUCAACCGUGGAGGGUCAUUGGAAACUGGGAGACUUGAGUGCAGAAGAGGAAAGUGGAAUUCCAUGUGUAGCGGUGAAAUGCGUAGAGAUAUGGAGGAACACCAGUGGCGAAGGCGACUUUCUGGUCUGUAACUGACACUGAGGCGCGAAAGCGUGGGGAGCAAACAGGAUUAGAUACCCUGGUAGUCCACGCCGUAAACGAUGAGUGCUAAGUGUUAGAGGGUUUCCGCCCUUUAGUGCUGAAGUUAACGCAUUAAGCACUCCGCCUGGGGAGUACGGCCGCAAGGCUGAAACUCAAAUGAAUUGACGGA